UCCGUAGGUGAACCUGCGGAAGGAUCAUUAGAGAUGCCGAAAGGCUUUCCAAACACCUGUGCACUCGGCGGACCCGCUCCGUCCACACAAACGCAUGUCAUGAACGUAAUAUAUCAUAAUUAAAAACAACUUUCAACAACGGAUCUCUUGGCUCUCGCAUCGAUGAAGAACGCAGCGAAAUGCGAUAAGUAAUGUGAAUUGCAGAAUUCAGUGAAUCAUCGAAUCUUUGAACGCACCUUGCGCCUUUUGGUAUUCCGAAAGGCAUGCCUGUUUGAGUGUCAUGUAGACUCAACCCCUCGGGUUUUUGCCCGGGGUGAGUUUGGAUUUGGGCCUUGCCUGACCGGCUGGCCUUAAAAGUGUUAGUGGAUUCGCACAGACGUUGUAAGCACUCGUCGAGGCGGCCCGCUCAUAACCCCCCAUAUUUUGCACUCUGACCUCAAAUCAGGUAGGGCUACCCGCUGAACUUAAGCAUAUCAAUAAGCGGAGGA
rnacentral:rRNA from 1 species